AUUUUAUUCCAUGAUGUUACAAAGAGCUUUCUCUCUCUAAACUCUCUACCAUCUCACUAGGUUUCCAAAUCUGAAUUUGUGUUCGGUGGCCGGUGUGCUUUUACGCCACCGGUCGCCACCCCUUUUUAUUCCUUUUGUUUUUGUUGUAAUAAAAAGUCCUUUCUUCGGGUUAGCCGAUAUCUUUUUCCGUUGCGGAUCUUAAGCUUUCACUUUGGUGAUGUAUUUUGUUAGGUUGUAGUUGUUUCUUCAUCGAAGCUUAUUUUCAAUCAAACUCUUUUAUCUUCGAUGAAGAACGUUUUAAAUCAAUUUCCACUGAAGCUUAUAUGAAUCCCGAUGACCAAUUGAUCGGAUUUCUUUUUUUACUGUUUCACUUCAAACAAUUCUCAAGAGAAUCAGUCUUCCUUGGUAAUUUAGCCUCUUAUGGCAUUAAAGGAUAGCAUCUCUUGUAGGGAAUUGGUUGAGUUUGAUGGAUUUUUGCAGUCACUUCGAAGGAGAUCAAGAAGAGUUGGCGCUAUAGCGGUCCAACAAAUGUUCUCUCUUCAAGCGAACUGAAACUUCCCUGGUCUUAAUCAACGGUGAGAGAAAGUUUAUUUGCUCAGGAGGUUGCGGUUAAAGUGGAAAGUGCUCUCAGAUUGGGUGAAACGAGGUGCCAAAUCUAAAACGGAUCGACACCAUAGUAUCUCAGGACGGAGGAGCAACGAAGGAUUAGUGGCGGAGCGGUACCGGCGUUUCCAACUUGAAUAUGGAAGCCGCGUGUCCGACAUACGUGUCACUAAGAUAAUAGAAACUAAACACGUGUCUUGAGUAAUUGUCGGUCUAAGAGCAUAAUGUUGUAAUUUUUUAUUUUGCUAUUGGACCUCUAUAGCUAAAAGCCUGAUCUAUGUAAACACGUCCUUUGGGCUGUUUUAAUGAAAAUUAGUUGACAAAAAAAAAAAAAAAAAUUCCAUGAUGUUACAAAAAAAAAAGUUGUUAUUUCUCUCUUUUUGUUGAUCCGAAACUCGUCUCUAAACCUUCUCCGUUGCCAUCUCCGGCUUGCUCGUCUGUUUCUACCACUGGCUCCCCCGUCGAUCCGAGCACAUCGGUACUAUCUUUCUCAUCUUCUCCUGGGCCACAGAACAACGAGACUGAUAAGAGGAGGAUUACCAGAAGUCGUUGAACGGAUAGGGUUCUUCGAUUGAGACUGAUUUUAAUAACUGUUCUUAUCCUUCUUGGUAGAUGGCCAUUCUCAUAUCAUCGUCUCUGUCCUCGAGUCUCAUCUAUGUGUUUCCCCUUUUCUCGAGCUUGGGAUCGAGACGCUUGUCGGAUGCGAGAGAGGAGUGGAGGCGGCGGAGGAGGCUUUUUGACGGAGGGUGAGGUCUUGAUGGGAAGAGGAAGAGAUACGAACGCGAAGAAACCUGCUUGGCUGAGACAAAAGGCACAACAGGGCGAGAUGUUUCAGGAGGUGAAGGAGUCGUUGACUCGUCUCAAGCUCAAACACUUUUUGUGAGGAAGCUCAAUGUCCUAAUAUCGGCGAGUGUUGGAAUGGAGGUGGUGAUGGUAUAGCAACUGUGACCAUCAUGGUUCUUGGUGAUGGUGUUCUGAAAAUAGGCGAUGUUGAGACUGUGGACUACUUAAGCUUCUUCGACAAGGCCAGAUCAUAUUUUCAACUGCCCCACAAGAGAAUUACUUUGACUGUCCUGUACACCUUAUGUUACCUCUUGAUUGUGGCGGUGGUGGAAACAUGACAAAGAAGAUCCUUGUAGGUAGUUUACUGUCUAACAUUACAGAGGCGGAGUUCAAGAAUGCUUUGAUCAGUUUGGUACAAUUGCUGAUGUUGUCGUAUUGUAUGAUCACAACACGCAGAGGCCAAGAGGGUCUGCCUUUGUUACUUUUUAUUGGGUUGAUAGGGUUGUUGGUGUGUUUUUCUUUUCGUAUACUGAACUUGAGCUUUGUGUGAAGAUAAUACUGAAUAUGAAUAUUAAGACAAGUAGCCAAAAUUGUCAAGUCAACCAAUUCAUAUU